AUGUUCCAGGAGUUGAAGUUAAUAUUUCAAGCAAAUGCCCGAAUUGAGAGAUAUGAAGUCUCUAAUAAGUUCUAUAGCUGCAAGAUGGAGGAGAAUAGUUCUGUCAGUGAACACAUACUCAAAAUGUCUGGGUAUAAUAAUCACUUGAUUCAACUGGGAGUUAAUCUUCCUGAUGAUAGUGUCAUUGACAGAAUUCUUCAAUCACUGCCACCAAGCUACAAGAGCUUCGUGAUGAACUAUAACAUGCAAGGGAUGGACAAGACUAUUCCCGAACUCUUCGCAAUGCUAAAAGCCGCGGAGAUAGAAAUCAAGAAGGAGCAUCAAGUAUUGUUGGUUAACAAGACCACCAGUUUCAAGAAAAAGGGCAAAGGGAAGAAGAAGGGGAACUUCAAGAAGAACAGCAAACAAGUUGUUGCUCAAGAGAAGAAACCCAAGUCUGGACCUAAGCCUGAGACUGAGUGCUUCUACUGCAAGCAGACUGGACACUGGAAGCGGAAUUGCUCCAAGUAUUUGGCGGAUAAGAAGGAUGGCAAAGUGAACAAAGGGACUACGGAUUAA
rnacentral:rRNA from 1 species